rnacentral:rRNA from 1 species
CAACUUGAGAGUUUGAUCCUGGCUCAGAGCGAACGCUGGCGGCAGGCCUAACACAUGCAAGUCGAACGAAGCCUUCGGGCU